AUUUUCUUUAAGAGAGUUCAAGAAGAGAGAAGAAGAAAAAGAAACCUUGAGCUAGAGAGAGAGCUCGAAUUUGGGAGGAAAAAAGUAGCAAGAACGAGUUGCAAGCAGUCCGUAACUUUCAGCACGCUAAAGAGGUUUUCGAAGCACAAUUUUGGCUAGUUUUGGUCAAUUUCGAAUAAGGUACAGAUAUACAGUUUGGGGAUCCGCCGGCAUAGAAGUCCCACUCAGUGGUCCGGAAGUGCUCCAUUGUGCUGGAGCCUAAUUUUGGGUACUAAACCUUAUUGUAUAUAUUUGUUUUGAUCACGGGUACGGCGGGGGCCCUGUCUCGCCUUAUGUUACUAUUUUUUUUACUCUGAGAGGUCUGUGGAUACGUAUGUGGGUUGUACGUAUGUGGGUUGUAUGUGUACGUGAGUUGUAUAUGAGUGGUAUAUGAAUUGAAUAUGUACUGAUGUGACUUAUGAUUUGGGGCGUUCCCUGUGUCGU